CUUCCAAUUGCCCAAAUAUUGAUUUGGAUCAGCGUUUUGGGAUAAAUUUCAUAACCAUUGAUUUUAAAAUUCGACAUGGCUUCUCUUGGAAGUAGCAAUGGGGCAGGAGGGUGCAAUCUCAGAGUUUCUUUUAUUACCAUGUGAAGCGAUCUCUGACAUAGCCCAGAUCAGGGUAACUGCACUGGUGUUUACUCCAGCCAAAAAUAGGUCCUGAAGCAAGAACAUCACAUGAUAAAAGAAGCAGACAUUAGUUCCAAGUUACCAGAAAAUACACACAUAACUUUUUUUUUUUUUACAUUUAGCUCAAGUUCUGGAGAAAAAAAAAGCAAGAUUUUUGUUGUCAUUUGACAUCCCAGAGAGCAUUCUGCUUCACCAGCAGUGGUGCUUUCAUAAAAACACAGAACAUGGAAGACAUCUCAAAAUUCAACAAGAGUUACUUUGAGAGAGGCUUUUGGUAAAAAAAAUCGUAUGUAAUGGCAACAAAACAAAUCUAAAAGUAAAGGAUUUGUAACCUGAGCAAAAGAUAAGGUGCAUACCAUGAGAACUGCCUUAAUGUGAUCUUUUGUCAGCUGAAUUGAA